ACUUAAAUAGCUUAUGUUUAGAGUAUGAUAUUGAAGAUAUCAGGGAAGUUAUUAUAACUUUUAAGUA
rnacentral:tRNA from 1 species